rnacentral:rRNA from 1 species
GUCUAUGGUCAUGCCACCCUGAAUGUGCCCGAUCCCAUCUGAUCUCAGAAGCUAAGCUGGGUCGAGCCUGGUUAGUACUUGGAUGGGAGACCACCUAAGAAUACCAGGUGCUGUAGGCA